rnacentral:rRNA from 1 species
AUCUCGAGAAGUGUUUUCCGCGCCGGACCGCAUACAAGUCUGUUGGAAUACAGCGUCAUAGUGGUGAGAGCCCCGUAACUGAUGCGGAUGCCCGGUGCUUUGUGAUACACUUUCGAAGAGUCGAGUUGUUUGGGAAUGCAGCUCAAAUUGGGUGGUAAAUUCCAUCUAAAGCUAAAUAUUGGCGAGAGACCGAUAGCGAACAAGUACCGUGAGGGAAAGAUGAAAAGCACUUUGGAAAGAGAGUUAACAGUACGUGAAAUUGUUGGAAGGGAAACGCUUGAAGUCAGACUUGCUAUUCGGAAUUCAGCCGCAAGGUGUACUUUUCGAUUUGCAGGCCAGCAUCAGUUUUUGGGGGUGGAAAAGGGCGAGAGGAAGGUAGCAACCCCGGUUGUGUUAUAGCCUCUCGCUGGAUUCAUCC